AACCAAGGGUGUGGGCCGAGA
rnacentral:miRNA from 1 species